CGUUCAUUAGAAGGGCUUGGAAACCAAAUUAUGUGUCAUUAUUUGUUUUUUAUACAAAAACAAUAUUGAAAAAAGGCCCCUUGAUGAAUUUGUAAAUUAAAACAAGGAGAUGCUUACUUAAAAUUUUGAAAGCCCCCCAAAGACCCAAUACUACAAAUCAAAACCACGCAGGAUAGAUUUUUUUUCAUCCUAUCUAAACAUGAGAAAGUAUGAUAUGCUAUAUUGACAUUUAGGCUAAAUCUUUCCCUUAUAAGGUGUUUGACAUAAAUAGCUUUUAUUAUGUAACUCUUAAAUAGAAGGCAUACACACAUUUCUUAAAGGUCCCAGCUGCUAUUGUUAUCACUGGAGGCAGAAAAUUGGAAUCCCAACUUCCAAUAUCAAAUUUUAGCACAAGUCCUAUAAAAUGUAUCUUGUCAGAAUGUGCCAGAACCGCUAAGCUCUUUUCUGCGGAACAAACCGCAGCUGGUGUCCUGCAGGGUCGAGAAUCUACUUGCUGCAUCCUCAGGGUUUAGGCAGCAAAUUGGUCCCAGUUUUCACCCUGCCACGGGGCUGGCUGGGGAGGGCAGGGGUUUAGAUUAGCCAUGGCCUAGGCCGUUUGACGGGGUGACACGAGCCUGCAGGGCCGAGGCCAAGGCCUGGAGAUAGGACCAACCGUCAGGAAUUCGAGGAAUGUUUUUCUUCGGACUCUUGAGGCACACAGACAGACCAUGGGGAUUGUGUCUGCAGUGACAGCCUUAACAUUUGCCAGAGCCCUGGACGGCUGCAGAAAUGGCAUUGCCCACCCUGCAAGUGAGAAGCACAGAUUUGAGAAAUGCGCAGAACUCCAGAGCAGCCACUCGGCCUCUGGGAUCAACCCGGCACUGAAGAAAAACCCAGAGAAAUUAUUCCUCAGCCCGAAACGAAGCGGGGAUCAAAUGGUUGCUGAUCAGAGCAAAUAUUUAAAUUGAGAAAGUCAAAUUGAGCAUUAUUAAAUAAAGCUUGUUUUACAUGUCUCAAACAGAAA